rnacentral:rRNA from 1 species
GACGAACGCUGGCGGCGUGCUUAACACAUGCAAGUCGAACGGAAAGGCCCUGCUCUUGUGGGGUGCUCGAGUGGCGAACGGGUGAGUAACACGUGAGUAACCUGCCCUUGACUUUGGGAUAACUUCAGGAAACUGGGGCUAAUACCGGAUAGGAGCUCCUGCUGCAUGGUGGGGGUUGGAAAGUUUCGGCGGUUGGGGAUGGACUCGCGGCUUAUCAGCUUGUUGGUGGGGUAGUGGCUUACCAAGGCUUUGACGGGUAGCCGGCCUGAGAGGGUGACCGGCCACAUUGGGACUGAGAUACGGCCCAGACUCCUACGGGAGGCAGCAGUGGGGAAUAUUGCAGAAUGGGCGGAAGCCUGAUGCAGCAACGCCGCGUGCGGGAUGACGGCCUUCGGGUUGUAAACCGCUUUCGCCUGUGACGAAGCGUGAGUGACGGUAAUGGGUAAAGAAGCACCGGCUAACUACGUG